GGGUUCUCCUGGAAUAUAGGUAAUGGCAAGAGAGCUAGAUUCUGGGAGGAUCAUUGGUUUGGUAACGCUACCUUGGCUACUCAAUAUUGGGAUCUUUAUAAUUCGGCUCAUGAGCAUAACAUAACUAUUGAGAAAGCUUGGAAUGGUAGUCAUCUUAAAAUUACAUUUAGGAGAUGCUUUUACCAAGAGUUGUUGAAUCUUUGGUUUGAGCUCCUGGAGAUUGCUAAAACUAUAUUGUUUAAUGAUAUGGAUGACUCCCUAGUCUGGUAUAUGAAUUCCAAAGGAGUCUAUACAGUUAAAUCCUUUUAUAAAUUUGUUAACUUUAGGGGAGUGUUGCAAGCUAUAUUGUGUUAUAUCCUUUGCUUGCUUGUGUGCUUAUUGUUGUUGCAUCAUAUAGGUUGCUCACCUAGUUGCAUAUCUAGACAACCUACUUUGAUGCAAUGUUUAAAUUGGUAA
rnacentral:rRNA from 1 species